GGAGAGCAUCCUACGGGAGGCAGCAGUGGGGAAUAUUGCACAAUGGGCGCAAGCCUGAUGCAGCCAUGCCGCGUGUAUGAAGAAGGCCUUCGGGUUGUAAAGUACUUUCAGCAGUGAGGAAGGUGGGUAUGUUAAUAGCAUACUCAUUUGACGUUAGCUGCAGAAGAAGCACCGGCUAACUCCGUGCCAGCAGCCGCGGUAAUACGGAGGGUGCGAGCGUUAAUCGGAAUUACUGGGCGUAAAGCGCAUGCAGGUGGUUUGUUAAGUCAGAUGUGAAAGCCCGGGGCUCAACCUCGGAAUUGCAUUUGAAACUGGCAAACUAGAGUACUGUAGAGGGGGUAGAAUUUCAGGUGUAGCGGUGAAAUGCGUAGAGAUCUGAAGGAAUACCGGUGGCGAAGGCGGCCCCCUGGACAGAUACUGACACUCAGAUGCGAAAGCGUGGGGAGCAAACAGGAUUAGAUACCCUGGUAG
rnacentral:rRNA from 1 species